rnacentral:tRNA from 1 species
GGGGCCUUAGCUCAGCUGGGAGAGCGCCUGCUUUGCACGCAGGAGGUCRGCGGUUCGAUCCCGCUAGGCUCCACCA